rnacentral:rRNA from 1 species
CGUUAGUGGCGGACGGGUGAGUAACGCGUGGGUAACCUGCCCUAUACAGGGGGAUAACAACCAGAAAUGGUUGCUAAUACCGCAUAAGCGCACAGGACCGCAUGGUUCGGUGUGAAAAACUCCGGUGGUAUAGGAUGGACCCGCGUUGGAUUAGCCAGUUGGCAGGGUAACGGCCUACCAAAGCGACGAUCCAUAGCCGGCCUGAGAGGGUGAACGGCCACAUUGGGACUGAGACACGGCCCAG